rnacentral:sRNA from 1 species
AAAAGAUUGUUUUUUUACUUUUUUAUCGCAAAAGUCCUUAAAUCAAAAUCUCCUAACAUUAACAACCGCUUUUUGUUUUUCUACACAAAACUUCAAUUCGAAACUAAAGAGAACAUUCAAACGGGUGUGUGAAAUCCGUUUCUGUAGUAAAUUGAAUCAUUUAU